AACCUCCGCAAUGUGAGAAAUCGCGACGGGGGGAUCCCAAGUGCCAUUCUUAACGGGAUGGCUUUUCAUUAGUGUAAAGAGCUUUUGGAAUAAGAGCUGGGCAAGACCGGUGCCAGCCGCCGCGGUAACACCGGCAGCUCUAGUGGUAGCAAUUUUUAUUGGGCCUAAAGCGUCCGUAGCCGGUUUAAUAAGUCUCUGGUGAAAUCCUGCAGCUUAACUGUGGGAAUUGCUGGAGAUACUAUUAGACUUGAGACCGGGAGAGGUUAGAGGUACUCCCAGGGUAGAGGUGAAAUUCUGUAAUCCUGGGAGGACCGCCUGUUGCGAAGGCGUCUAACUGGAACGGUUCUGACGGUGAGGGACGAAAGUUAGGGGCGCGAACCGGAUUAGAUACCCGGGUAGUCCUAACUGUAAACGAUGCGGACUUGGUGUUGGGGUGGUUUUGAGCUGCUUCAGUGCCGAAGGGAAGCUGUUAAGUCCGCCGCCUGGGAAGUACGGUCGCAAGACUGAAACUUAAAGGAAUU
rnacentral:rRNA from 1 species